rnacentral:rRNA from 1 species
UACGAAGGGGGCAAGCGUUGUUCGGAAUUACUGGGCGUAAAGCGUGCGCAGGCGGUUUGCUAAGACAGGUGUGAAAUCCCCGGGCUUAACCUGGGAACUGCGCUUGUUACUGGCAGGCUUGAGUGUGGCAGAGGGGGGUGGAAUUCCACGUGUAGCAGUGAAAUGCGUAGAGAUGUGGAGGAACACCGAUGGCGAAGGCAGCCCCCUGGGCUAACACUGACGCCUCAUGCACGAAAGCGUGGGGAGCAAACAG